CCUACGGGAGGCAGCAGUGAGGAAUAUUGGUCAAUGGACGAGAGUCUGAACCAGCCAAGUAGCGUGAAGGAUGACUGCCCUAUGGGUUGUAAACCUCUUUUAUAUGGGAGUAAAAUGUUCCACGUGUGGGAUUUUGUAUGUACCAUAUGAAUAAGGAUCGGCUAAAUCCGUGCCAAGAGCCGCGGUAAUACGGAGGAUCCGAGCUUUAUCCGGAUUUUUUGGGUUUUAAGGGAGCGUUGGUGGGUUUUUAAGUCCGUUGGGAAAGUUUGCGGCUCAACCGUAAAAUGGCAGUUGAAACUGGCAGUCUUGAGUACAGUAGAGGUGGGCGGAAUGCGUGGUGUAGCGGUGAAAUGCUUAGAUAUCACGAAGAACUCCGAUUGCGAAGGCAGCUCACUGGACUGCAACUGACACUGAGGCUCGAAAGUGUGGGUAUCAAACAGGAUUAGAUACCCCAGUAGUC
rnacentral:rRNA from 1 species